UGGCGGACGGGUGCGUAACACGUAAGCGACCUGCCUUGGGGUGGGGGAUAACCCCGGGAAACCGGGGCUAAUACCGCAUGAGUUCUUCGGGUCGCAUGGCCUGGAGAAGAAAGCUCCUGCAAGGGAGCGCCACGAGAGGGGCUUGCGGCGUAUCAGCUCGUUGGUGAGGUAACGGCUCACCAAGGCGAUGACGCGUAGGGGGUCUGAGAGGACGGCCCCCCACAUUGGGACUGAGAUACGGCCCAGACUCCUACGGGAGGCAGCAGUGGGGAAUCUUGCGCAAUGGCCGAGAGGCUGACGCAGCGACGCCGCGUGCGGGAGGAAGGUCUUCGGAUCGUAAACCGCUGUCGGGGGGGAAGAAAUCUACCAGGGAGGUAAUGCCCUGGAGUUGACGGU
rnacentral:rRNA from 1 species